rnacentral:rRNA from 1 species
UACGUAGGGUGCAAGCGUUGUCCGGAAUUAUUGGGCGUAAAGAGCUCGUAGGUGGCGUGUCGCGUCGGGAGUGAAAGCCCGCUGCUUAACGGCGGGUUGGCUUCCGGUACGGGCAUCGCUGGAGAGCGGCAGGGGAGACUGGAAUUCCUGGUGUAGCGGUGGAAUGCGCAGAUAUCAGGAGGAACACCGGUGGCGAAGGCGGGUCUCUGGGCCGUUACUGACGCUGAGGAGCGAAAGCGUGGGGAGCGAACAGG